rnacentral:tRNA from 1 species
UAGUGCAUAGUUCAGCCGAUAGAGCAGCUGGCCUUUAAUCAGUAGGUUGAGCGUUCGAUUCUCGCCAGGACCAC